CUCUCGGCAACGGAUAUCUCGGCUCUCGCAUCGAUGAAGAACGUAGCGAAAUGCGAUACUUGGUGUGAAUUGCAGAAUCCCGUGAACCAUCGAGUCUUUGAACGCAAGUUGCGCCCGAAGCCUCUUGGCCAGGGCACGUCUGCCUGGGCGUCACG
rnacentral:rRNA from 1 species